ensembl:ncRNA T02E9.9 ncRNA
AUUUUAGUAAAAGAAGAGAGUAGGACACCUCGAAAUUCUAAUGAUGUGCUUUGAAAUCCCCUAUGGGGUUGACCUUAAGAGCUCAAUGUCCCUUCGUAUUCCUUCCGGUGCUCCUCUAUACUAUUGUG